rnacentral:rRNA from 1 species
AAACCAACUGGGAUUACCUUAGUAACGGCGAGUGAAGCGGUAAAAGCUCAAAUUUGAAAUCUGGUACUUUCAGUGCCCGAGUUGUAAUUUGUAGAAUUUGUCUUUGAUUAGGUCCUUGUCUAUGUUCCUUGGAACAGGACGUCAUAGAGGGUGGGAAUCCCGUUUGGCGAGGAUACCUUUUCUCUGUAAGACUUUUUCGAAGAGUCGAGUUGUUUGGGAAUGCAGCUCAAAGUGGGUGGUAAAUUCCAUCUAAAGCUAAAUAUUGGCGAGAGACCGAUAGCGAACAAGUACAGUGAUGGAAAGAUGAAAAGAACUUUGAAAAGAGAGUGAAAAAGUACGUGAAAUUGUUGAAAGGGAAGGGCCUUUGAUCAGACAUGGUGUUUUUUAAAUGUGCAAGUCUCUCGUGGACAUGUGCCUCUGGGAAAUUACACUGGGCCAACAUCAGUUCUGGCGGCAGGAUAAAUCAUUAAGAAUGUAGCUACUUCGGUAGUGUUAUAGCUUUUUGGAAUACUGCCAGCUGGGAUUGA